GUGGUGCGCCCAACCUUGUCUAGCAUUGCUCAGUUCAUUUUCAGUGACGUAACUGGCCAAAACUAUGCUGAAUUCAGCCGCCACACUUGGCAUGGACAAGGACUUGGCGUGGCGUGACGUGGUAUUAAACCAAACAUGCUCUAAUUUUCACGGUUGGCAAGCCUUAUGUUAUCUGCUACGUGGCGUGGCGUGGUAUUAAACCAAACAUGCUCUAAUUUUCCACUCCUAUACACUAUGGGUUACAAGCGUGAGCUUGCGAUGUGGGUGCUUAAAGUACAAGGAGUCCUAUAUACGUGGGUGCUACACCGUAUGGGUAUAUAUAUGUAAAAUGAUACCCAUCAACCUAUUCGCUUGGCUGCUGAAAGUAUUGUUCGCUCAUUUGUUGUGAUAGAAAAAUAUUGUUAAAUGCCUGGUAGAUUAGGUAGAUAAUCUCAAGCGAAUAGUGGUAGGUUUUUGUCCUACUUGUAGCUAACCUAACAUGUUGUGAUCCUUUGCUAACCAUAUAAUUGUGAGGCAUGAGGUGGUAAUAUAUGGAUCAACUCAUUGAUCGACUUCCCCGUACCAAACAAAAUGUGAUUGGAAAUGUGAUGAAUCCCAUUCCUCGAACCCUUUUAGUGAGGGUUUCAACUUUUGAAAGUACAAAUUUUUUUCAACUAGGUUAAUGCUCGUAUGUUGUUAUGGGUUUUAAAAUCCACGUACUCUAUGUUUCUUCAUGGUUAUUUUUUUUGUCUAUAUUCUUCCUUUUUCAUUUCUUUUCAGUUUUCGUUUUUUGAUUUUAUUUUAUUUCCUGUUGUUUCCUUAUUCUUUUCUUGUUUUAAUUUUACCUUUUAUUUCCUUUUUCUUUUGGUUUUAGUUUUAUUGUUCUUCCUUGCUUCUAUUUGUUUUUGUUUUUGUUUUUUCUUUUUAGGUUUUCUAUGUUUCUUCAUUCUUAUUUUAUAUUUUAAUUUAUUUUAAUCUUUUUUAUCCUUAUUUAAAUUAUUCAUUUAUUUUAUUUGCUCUAUGCACUUUUUAUCAUUUGUUAAUCAUGUUUGUUUUUAUAUUUUUCUUCUUAGUAAUUUUAUUUUUUAUUUUUAUUUUCUAUAUAUAUGCGAUGUUUAUGUAGUAUAUAUUUAGUGUUCUAUGUUGUGUUAUGUCAUGUUUACAUAGUAUGCAUGUGAUGUUCUAUGAUGUUUCUUAUGGUGUUCACUUAGUAUACAUGUAAUCUAUAAUAGAUGUGAUGUUCUAUAAUAUAUUUAAUGAUAUUCUAUGAUGUAUUUAGUGAUGUUAAUAUUCUAUAAAUAUAUUUACGAUAUUUGAAAAGUAACCCUUUGACAUUAUUUGAAAUUUUUCUCUAUUUUGUGUUUUUAAUUUUUUGUUAUGCUUUUUACUCUAGAUUUUAUUAUUAUUUUAUCUAUGUCAUGUAUUUAUGUAUUUUUAUGUAUAUUGUAAUAUCAGUUUCAUAAACCUAAAACCAAAAUACUAUUCUUCUAAAACGAUAAUAUUUUUUUACAAAGACAGAACAUUGUCUGUUGAACCUAGAAUAUUGUCUCUACUUAAUAAAAGAAAAUAUUUUAUCUUUAUAAGAUAAAUAUUCAUUAAUAAAAUUUUAUCUAAAUAUAUCCAUGUGUGAUCUUGUUUUAAAGGAUUUGUUAUAAGAAAUUUAAUGGUGCAUAUCUUCGGUUUAUGAGUUAUGAUUUUUUUUAAUUUGCUAAAUCAAUUUUGCAUGUAUAGGUGAGUGGGGUCUGGGUUGAUGGUAUAGCCUAUCAUGACACACUAAAAGGGAAGUUGUGGCUUCACCAUGAAUGUGGUAGAUGAGUCCUCUCUAUAAUUUUUAGUUGUAGAGAUUGAGGUUCCAAUUUAGUAGUUCUUACAUUCAAAUUGAAGACCUCGAUCAAAUGAUUGUCGAAACUUUAACGAAUUCAAGGAGUUUUCUUAAAGAAAGACUCAAAGAUAAGAGCUCAUAAAUGCCCACUUUAGCAUUUUCACAAUUUUAGCUAUAAAAUUCCUCUUCAACAAUACCUCCAAAGGCAAGAUUCAUUAUCCUACUUAGUGGGAGUAUACGAUUAAUUCCUGCAAAUUUACGUGAACUGC
rnacentral:lncRNA from 1 species